UACGUAGGGUGCGAGCGUUAAUCGGAAUUACUGGGCGUAAAGCGUGCGCAGGCGGUUUUGUAAGCCCGAUGUGAAAUCCCCGGGCUCAACCUGGGAAUGGCAUUUGGGACUGCAAGGCUCGAGUGCGGCAGAGGAGACUGGAAUUCCUGGUGUAGCAGUGAAAUGCGUAGAUAUCAGGAGGAAUACCGAUGGCGAAGGCAGGUCUCUGGGCUGACACUGACGCUCAUGCACGAAAGCGUGGGGAGCAAACAGG
rnacentral:rRNA from 1 species